rnacentral:misc_RNA from 1 species
AAAAGAUCCUGACAUAGGCUGUGGCUCCCUGGUAACUUCAGCUUGGAGGUUUGGCUUAUGCCUACUACCUGUUUCAGAUUUUAUAGCUCUUAACACGUUGCAUUGGCCGUUGAAAUCUUUUUCUAUUUAUUUUUCCUUUUGGGCCCCUUUUUAAAUCUAUUUCAAUAUUUCUCCAUUGCUUUUGGUUGGACUACAGAACAACGAUCAGAUUUU